rnacentral:rRNA from 1 species
UACAGAGGUCCCAAGCGUUGUUCGGAUUCAUUGGGCGUAAAGGGUGCGUAGGCGGCGCGGUAAGUCGGGUGUGAAAUCUCGGAGCUUAACUCCGAAACUGCAUUCGAUACUGCCGUGCUUGAGGACUGGAGAGGAGACUGGAAUUUACGGUGUAGCGGUGAAAUGCGUAGAUAUCGUAAGGAAGACCAGUGGCGAAAGGCGGGUCUCUGGACAGUUCCUGACGCUGAGGCACGAAGGCCAGGGGAGCAAACGGGG